rnacentral:rRNA from 1 species
CCUACGGGGGGCUGCAGUCGAGAAUCAUUCACAAUGGGGGAAACCCUGAUGGUGCGACGCCGCGUGGGGGAAUGAAGGUCUUCGGAUUGUAAACCCCUGUCAUGUGGGAGCAAAUUAAAAAGAUAGUACCACAAGAGGAAGAGACGGCUAACUCUGUGCCAGCAGCCGCGGUAAUACAGAGGUCUCAAGCGUUGUUCGGAAUCACGGGGCGUAAAGCGUGCGUAGGCUGUUUCGUAAGUCGUGUGUGAAAGGCGCGGACUCAACCCGCGGACGGCACAUGAUACUGCGAGACUAGAGUAAUGGAGGGGGAACCGGAAUUCUCGGUGUAGCAGUGAAAUGCGUAGAUAUCGAGAGGAACACUCGUGGCGAAGGCGGGUUCCUGGACAUUAACUGACGCUGAGGCACGAAGGCCAGGGGAGCGAAAGGGAUUAGAUACCCCUGUAGUC